ensembl:lncRNA STXBP5-AS1 STXBP5 antisense RNA 1
CUGGAUUUGCAGCAGAAACACUCUGCUACAGAACAAGUGUCUUGGUUCACAGCAAAGAGGACAAAGAAAACAGCAAGUUUUAGGGGGUUGAAUCCUGGAUUCCCCUGGCAAACACCAUUCUACUUUCCGUCUCUAUGAAUUUGACUACUCGAAGUACCUCAUGUGAAAUGUUGGUGCCAAAUGAACUUUUCUGGUUCUUCUGAAUGUGGUGACCAGAUGGAUAUAAACGGGCUGUGGAAAAAGAGAAUGCAUGGCCAAAAAUGGUGGUGCUCUCUGUCCAAAAACUGAGGCCCUAUGACCAUGAAUGAAGCCAGAGGGCAGGUAGGAAUAGAUCAUUUGCUCCAGAAGAAGCUGGUUGCCAUGUCUUGAGGACAGUAAACCCUCUGGGGAGGUUCCUGUGGUAAGGAACAAGGGCUCCUGGCAAUAGCCUCUGAGUGAGCCACCUUGAAAAUGGAUUGUCCAGCCCCAGUCAAGCUUUCAGAUGACUGUAGCUCCUGCCAAUGUCUUCACCACAACCUCAUGAGAUCCCAAGCUACAACCACUCAGUUAAGUUAUGCCAAAAUUCCUGAUUCACAGAAAUUGACAUACAGGAGAGGUCACAGUUAAGAUCUUGAUGUUCUAUCUUGACCCAUAAUAUAGGAACUUCAUCUUUUGGGAAGCACCAGGGAGAGCUGCCUGUGCCUGGCAGAAGCUGCCCAUGCCCCACUGAUACCCCACAGUACUUCCUGUUCUGCUUAGUACUCCUGCUUCUUUCUACAAACAACUGUGAUUCUCUACCUGGGAGCUUCCUCUGGCCACAGGAGCCUGCUCACCUGAUUGGGACACCCUAGCAGUACUGGCUCAUAGAUGGAAGGGACUUGCCUUGUCGCUGAUGAGACUUUCGACUUGGACUUUUGAGUCAAUGCUGGAAUGAGUUAAGACUUUGGGGAACUGUUGGAAGGGUGUGAUUGUGUUUUGAAUUGUGAGGACAUGAGAUUUUGAAGAGGCUAAUGGCAGCGUCCCCACCUAAAUCUCUUCUUGAAUUGUAGUUCCCAUAAUCCCCACGUGUCGUGGGGUGGAGCCGGUGGAGAUAAUUGAAUCAUGGGAACACUUUCCCCCAUGCUGUUAUUGUGAUUGUGAAUUCUCACGAGAUCUGAUGGUUGUAUAAACGCCUUCCCUCUUCGCUGGGCACUCAUUUUUCUCCUUCCUGCCACCAUGUGAAGAAGGAUAUGCUUGCUUCUUGUGCCAUGAUUACAAGAACACACUCAGAAAUUUUCUCAACACAGUUUCUAUGCAGAGAAGAGAUGUGGGACAGAUUUGAACUGCUGUCAUAUUUGUAUGAACCCAAGACAUUUUCCAAGACCAAGAGGGAUAAAGACAGCAAUUUCUAUGACUGGCAUUUUACGUGCAUGCACUGUUUCCAAGUGUUCUUGUGUUCUGUGCCUUAAACAUUCUGUGUUGCAACUUUAUGAAUUGAAUUAAAGAUAAUCCCAAGCCCCCAAUUGUCUCAAAAAGUGAAAAAGUAAAUGUUAUAGAAAGAAAAGCGGGAAAAACUUUAAGCAUGAAAUAAAAGAUGGGUUGUGAUAAAAGAGGACUGAAGAAGGAAAAGGAAUGAAAGGUUCUGCCAUCCUUCAUGGCAGCCCACUCCACUUGGUAUGAGAUACUGCUCCCUUGGCUGAAAGUUAACUGCUGUACUCCCUCCACUUUCUAUAAAUGACUCCCUGUGCCUUUCCUUCACCACACAACUCACACUCUCUUCCUUCCUAGUGAGUCCACUAAGGCUUCACUGCAUUAUUACAUUUAUUUCAUUUAGGAAAAACUGACUUUAUUUUCCUUCAAAUUGUUUUUUAUUGUUUAUAUGAGCUUGGUUUUAUUGUCAUUCUAUUUUUCUCCAUGAAAAUAGAGAAAAAUAGGGUCGAAAGGUUAGGUUGGGUGGAAAGGAAUUAUAUUUUUUCUCACUAAAAUUGAUGUAAAUAUCGUUUUCAAUUGAAUGAUUUUACACAGUGGCACAGUUUCAGGUAUGUUGCUAAGCAGGAAAGUUGUUAACCAAAGCAUGAAUGUAUUAAGGAGAUGUAUGCAGAAUGACAUGCAAGGUUAUCUAUGAUUGCUGAGUGAGAAAGAGCAAGUUGCUGAGUAUUAUAUAAGUAUGAUCUCACUUUUGUAAAAAAAAAAAAAAAAAAAGGCCUGGACUGAUCUGAAAUGACCCUAUUAAUAACAAUUAUGUCCAGGUCUGUAUUGCAUACUUGUCAUUCAUUACAGGAUCUUGAGACACAAUGCAAAGGAUCACAUCGCAGCUCUGUAACUUGUUAACUAUAAGAUUUUGAGUAACAUAACACCUUACUCCUUAAAAUUGCUUAAAAAAAAUCUGAACAUCAGGAAUAUUCUACUUCACAGGGUCGUUGUGAUAAUUAAAUGUAGUAAUCAAUGACAAUAGUGCCAGAUACAGUAGAUAGCCUACACUUUGCAGCUACUAUUUCUAUCUAUCAUCCAUCUAUUAAUAUAUAUCAUCUAUCUUUAACUUAUCAUCUAUCUUGUUCCAGUUUUUUAAAAUGAACAUGUAUUAACUUUGUAAAAAAUUAAGGCUAUAAGAUGUGCUGAGCUUUUGGAAUAGAUUUUCCUGUAC